GAUGAAGAACGCAGCGAAAUGCGAUAAGUAAUGUGAAUUGCAGAAUUCAGUGAAUCAUCGAAUCUUUGAACGCACAUUGCGCCCGCCAGUAUUCUGGCGGGCAUGCCUGUUCGAGCGUCAUUACAACCCUCAGGCCCCCGGGCCUGGCGUUGGGGAUCGGCGGAAGCCCCCUGCGGGCACAACGCCGUCCCCCAAAUACAGUGGCGGUCCCGCCGCAGCUUCCAUUGCGUAGUAGCUAACACCUCGCAACUGGAGAGCGGCGCGGCCACGCCGUAAAACACCCAUCUUCUGAAUGUUGACCUCGAAUCAGGUAGGAAUACCCGCUGAACUUAAGCAUAUCAAUAAGCGGAGGA
rnacentral:misc_RNA from 1 species